AUCCAAAAAAAAAAAAAAAGAGGGGUAGAUUAAUUUCAAAAGUUGCGAGUUGCAUUUGUAGCAACCUUGAGUGAUAGGGCCACCUACUUUCCCACUCCACCGAUCCGCGGGAAAGGACCAGAGUGUUUUUUGCACAACCUGGCCGGGUGCGACCUCUGCAACACCCACGGGACGCAGUACCUGCUCCCGGAUCUCUGCUGCUUCGAGACAGUGACCGUGGGAACAAUUUGCAGAGGCGUGCAGGAGCCAAGGACAAACGCCUUAGCUCCAGUGAGACAUUUCAAAAAUCAACUUAAACCCGCGCUUCAUUCUCAGUGACUCCCAUCUUUUCCUCAUUCUAUUGUUUAAGCGUAGCUCCGCAGUUCAUGGGAGUCCCCGUGGAAUGUGCAAUUGCCCUGUAAGUUUCUUGAAUAUUUGAUGCGCAUUUGGUGGGAUUUGGGGGUUAUGUUGCCCAGUUGCAUCAUUUGUUCUUCCCGUGUCCUAAACAUGGCAGACUAAUCCCUUGUGCUUGAAUUGACAUUGGUGAUGCGGUUUCACUUCACGAAGUAACUUCAGAUUUCCGACUUUGUAACGCGUUGCGGAUGCAAAGUGCCUUCAUUCGAAGGACUUCCCUGGAAAGCUGAGCAGCGCGAACUUGGUUUGGGCUACGUUCUCGUGUUCCAAGUUAUUUGAGAGCAGAAUCGUUGGGGGUAACCGAACAGGGCUUUUAUGGCUGCUUUAGGUUGGCACGCCCACACAGAUGUCCUUUUCAUCCCCGAAAUUGCCACUUUCUUAGGGCUGGAAUCUAGGAUGCCAAGUGUGGCCAGAUGGACGCAGGCGCCUCCUGUCUUUGUGUCCACAAUGCAUUUGGGAGAAUACAGCAGCACCUGGGCUCGGUAGCAUUAGAUUUCUGAACAUCGAACAUGGAGUUUUCUGUGAAUGGUCAGGAGAGAGGGCGCAAACACAAUCACCAGGUACCACUCUAGGACUCCGGAACCAGAGGAAAAGAGUUAUAAGGAUACCUUUGUCCCUUUCUGCCUUUUAAAUAAGGUUUCACGAUGAAAGAGUGAAAAAAGAAAAGCUUUGGGAUGUGGAGGAUUCAUGACACAGCAGAGGACUUCCGGAGCUGUUUUUGUGUUGUUUACCUCCCUGCUGAAGGAGCUCCCUUGCAGGAUGGAAUGUUUUGAUGUCAGAGGAGACUGUUACACAACAGUGGGGUGUGUACCUUGUACAUGCAUGUGUGUCUCAUGUACAUGUGUGGGGGGUGCUCAUGUAUAAAUGCCAAAGGAGGGUCUUGAGUGUUGUGGUUUGGCACCCCCUUUUAUCCCUUUAAACCAGGGUCUCUCACUAAACUGGGCGCUAGGCUGAGGGACUGCAAGCCUAGCGCCUCUUCCUGUCUCUGCCCCUUACAGGGCUAGGUUUGCAGGUGCUUAUGAAGCCAUGCCAGCUCUUCUGUGGGUGCUGGGGAUCCGAGCUUAAGCCCUUAAGUAUAGCAAGCACUGUUCCCCACUGAGCUAUUUCAUCUGCCUCUCAUUCGGUUUUAUGAGAUAGCGUUUGAUGUAGCGCUCACCGUGCAGCCGCGGCUGACCCUGACCUUCCGAUCUCCACAUCUCUACCUCCUGGCAUUACAGGUGUGCGCCCCCACACCUGGCUGAGCUGGCCAUGCCAACAGCGGUGCUGGUGCGUUUGCUGUCAGCUGAAUGGAUAAAGGAUAGCAGCAUUCAGACACACAGGGACAUUGUGUGCACCGCCCCCCGCCCCUGAGUCCAGAGCUGUCAUUUGUUUCAACAUGGAUGGAACAAAGGUUGUUAAGUGAAAUGAAUCAGGCGCAGAAAGACAAGUGCCAUCUGUUCUUAUUCGUAUAGAGUCUAAACCACUGAUCCCACAGAGGAGAGAAUAGGGUUACCGGAGGCUACGAAGGCAGCGAGAAGUUGAAUGACUAAUAGCAAAGUGGAGCGAGGUGGGAGGAAUAGCUUCAAGAGUUCUCUGCUGCACAGAGGGACUGUAGUUCACAAUGAUUUACUAUCUGUCUCAAAAGAAGCAGAAGACUGUGAAAGUCCCCAGCACAAAGCAAUACUAAUUACCCCAAUUUGAUGAUUACACCAUGAACACAUGUAUCUAGUUAGCACCCAUCCACUAUAAAUGUAUGUAAUUAUGUGUCACUAACAGUAAGGCUGUACAGUCAAAUGUAUACAUUUAAUAAUGUGAUGCUGCGCAGGAACGCUGCCCAAACAAUGUAAUACAACUCUGCUAGUUACUGGUAAGUUAGUGACACCAUAAGAGAAGUUUGUCUUUACGCUUUUAAAAGGAAAGCUGUGAUCUCAAAGAAGGCUUAGGUCUGUCCUUAUUUUCUCUCCCCUUCCUUCCUUCUUUCCCCUCCCCCUUCCAUCCUCCCUCCUUCCUCCUCCUCUCCCCUCCCCCUUCUCUCUCCCCUUCCAUCCUCCCUUCUCCUCUCCCCUCCCCUUUUUCUCUUCCCCUUCCCUCCCUCCUUUCCUUCUUCUCCCUCUUCUCCUCCUUGUUUUCCUUCAGGAUACAGCAGAGUGACUGUUCAGCCUAAAGCUCACCCUCCACUGCCCCAGCCUCUCUUCAGCUGGGACCAAAAAUACAUGUUUCUGUGCCUCGCUAAAAAAAAUAUAAAAAGAUUGCUGGGCAGUGGUGGCACACGCCUUUAAUCCCAGCACUCGGGAGGCAGAGACAGGCGAAUCUCUGUGAGUUUGAGGCCAGCCUGGUCUACAAGAGCUAGUUCCAGGACAGGCUCCAAAGCUAAACAGAAACCCUGUCUCAAAAAAAUCAAAACAAAACAAAAGCAAAUAUAUAUAUAUAUAUAUAUAUAUAUAUAUAUAUCCCAAACCAGAAAGGAAAAUACUAAUAAUUUUGACAAUACUGAUUUAAAAAGUAUUCAACCCACAUAAAGACAACACAGAGUAGAAGUCAUUAUUUGUACUGUUGCUGUGCUGUUGAAUCACUAAUGAACAAAGCAACACUCCAGAAUAUGUAAAGAACUCUACAAGUAAAAAAAUUAGAAAAAUGAAAAAUAUAAGUAGAAAGUUUAUAGAAGAGGACAGCUGAACUGCAUGCUUGAAAAUAUGUUCAAUCUCACCAUAAUCCAGGGAAUGCAAUUUAAAAUACGAUGCCCGUUUUAUAUUUAGCGCAUUGGCAAACAAAAGGUUUAGUAAGACUUUUUAUUUGUUUAUUAGUAUGUGUGGCAUGGCCAACCUGUUGAGGCCAAAGGACAACUUGAAGGCAUCUGCCUUCUCCUUCCAACAUCUGAAUGAGAGACCCAAGCCCCAGAAAAUCCCUGAUCCGUAGCCCCUACGCAGACUGAGUGGUUCAGCUCCAAGCCCCAACCCAGUGAAAGAACACACCCUAAAAAUGGGACCAGAGUUGGGAAGAGGCAAUUUGUCCCUGAACCAAGAGCCGGAGAAGAGUCCCCAGCCCCUGAAACCAGGACCACAAGAAUACUAAUUCUUAGAUUCGGAGUGUGCCAAAGAUAUUCGCCCUAGUCCCAAAAUAAGGGUCAAAAGGUAAAAAGAACCAAAGAAAGAAGCACAACUUGGCCCCAGAAUCAGAGCCAUCUCUGUUCCCCCCCCCCCCUCCCCAAACCAGUCAAUCCCUGAGCAAGGAAAACUAACCAAUAACUGAGCUCCCUAGAGGCUUGGCAUUCCCCUCAGGCCCGGAGAGCGCCUUACAUCAUAAGGGGCAGCCAAUCCCAAGCGUGGAAGUCUGGAAUUCCCCUCACCUCCCACUAGGGGGCAGCCAAUCCCAAGCCUCUUUUCCAGUAUAACCCUCACCCCUGUUCACAGCUUGGGGUCCCUCUCGUGUUGCUGCUGCCACUUUGGAUGAACAGAGGAACCCGAGCUAACGUGCAAUAAAAACUCUUUGUUUUAGCAUCGG